rnacentral:rRNA from 1 species
GAUGAACGCUGGCGGCGUGCUUAACACAUGCAAGUCGAACGGGAUCCCAGGAGCUUGCUCCUGGGUGAGAGUGGCGAACGGGUGAGUAAUGCGUGACCGACCUGCCCCAUACACCGGAAUAGCUCCUGGAAACGGGUGGUAAUGCCGGAUGCUCCAGUUGGAUGCAUGUCCUUCUGGGAAAGAUUCAUCGGUAUGGGAUGGGGUCGCGUCCUAUCAGCUUGAUGGCGGGGUAACGGCCCACCAUGGCUUCGACGGGUAGCCGGCCUGAGAGGGCGACCGGCCACAUUGGGACUGAGAUACGGCCCAGACUCCUACGGGAGGCAGCAGUGGGGAAUAUUGCACAAUGGGCGCAAGCCUGAUGCAGCGACGCCGCGUGCGGGAUGACGGCCUUCGGGUUGUAAACCGCUUUUGACUGGGAGCAAGCCCUUCGGGGUGAGUG